rnacentral:rRNA from 1 species
UACGAAUCGUGCGAACGUUGUUCGGAAUCACUGGGCUUAAAGGGCGCGUAGGCGGGUGGCCAAGUCCGGGGUGAAAUCCCACAGCUUAACUGUGGAAUUGCCUCGGAUACUGGUCACCUCGAGGGAGGGAGGGGAGUGUGGAACGUUUGGUGUAGCGGUGAAAUGCGAUGAUAUCAAACGGAACUCUGGUGGCGAAGGCGACACGCUGGG